GAUGAACGCUGGCGGCGUGCCUAAUACAUGCAAGUCGAGCGAACGGACGAGAAGCUUGCUUCUCUGAUGUUAGCGGCGGACGGGUGAGUAACACGUGGAUAACCUACCUAUAAGACUGGGAUAACUUCGGGAAACCGGAGCUAAUACCGGAUAAUAUUUUGAACCGCAUGGUUCAAAAGUGAAAGACGGUCUUGCUGUCACUUAUAGAUGGAUCCGCGCUGCAUUAGCUAGUUGGUAAGGUAACGGCUUACCAAGGCAACGAUGCAUAGCCGACCUGAGAGGGUGAUCGGCCACACUGGAACUGAGACACGGUCCAGACUCCUACGGGAGGCAGCAGUAGGGAAUCUUCCGCAAUGGGCGAAAGCCUGACGGAGCAACGCCGCGUGAGUGAUGAAGGUCUUCGGAUCGUAAAACUCUGUUAUUAGGGAAGAACAUAUGUGUAAGUAACUGUGCACAUCUUGACGGUACCUAAUCAGAAAGCCACGGCUAACUACGUGCCAGCAGCCGCGGUAAUACGUAGGUGGCAAGCGUUAUCCGGAAUUAUUGGGCGUAAAGCGCGCGUAGGCGGUUUUUUAAGUCUGAUGUGAAAGCCCACGGCUCAACCGUGGAGGGUCAUUGGAAACUGGAAAACUUGAGUGCAGAAGAGGAAAGUGGAAUUCCAUGUGUAGCGGUGAAAUGCGCAGAGAUAUGGAGGAACACCAGUGGCGAAGGCGACUUUCUGGUCUGUAACUGACGCUGAUGUGCGAAAGCGUGGGGAUCAAACAGGAUUAGAUACCCUGGUAGUCCACGCCGUAAACGAUGAGUGCUAAGUGUUAGGGGGUUUCCGCCCCUUAGUGCUGCAGCUAACGCAUUAAGCACUCCGCCUGGGGAGUACGACCGCAAGGUUGAAACUCAAAGGAAUUGACGGGGACCCGCACAAGCGGUGGAGCAUGUGGUUUAAUUCGAAGCAACGCGAAGAACCUUACCAAAUCUUGACAUCCUUUGACAACUCUAGAGAUAGAGCUUUCCCCUUCGGGGGACAAAGUGACAGGUGGUGCAUGGUUGUCGUCAGCUCGUGUCGUGAGAUGUUGGGUUAAGUCCCGCAACGAGCGCAACCCUUAAGCUUAGUUGCCAUCAUUAAGUUGGGCACUCUAAGUUGACUGCCGGUGACAAACCGGAGGAAGGUGGGGAUGACGUCAAAUCAUCAUGCCCCUUAUGAUUUGGGCUACACACGUGCUACAAUGGACAAUACAAAGGGCAGCGAAACCGUGAGGUCAAGCAAAUCCCAUAAAGUUGUUCUCAGUUCGGAUUGUAGUCUGCAACCCGACUACAUGAAGCUGGAAUCGCUAGUAAUCGUAGAUCAGCAUGCUACGGUGAAUACGUUCCCGGGUCU
rnacentral:rRNA from 1 species